rnacentral:rRNA from 1 species
UUGGAGGGCAAGUCUGGUGCCAGCAGCCGCGGUAAUUCCAGCUCCAAUAGCGUAUAUUAAAGUUGUUGCAGUUAAAAAGCUCGUAGUUGAAUUUCAGGGUUUGUCUAUCGGUCGGGCUUCACUGUCCGCACUGAUUUGAUGGAUCCUUACCUUCUGAAUAGCCAUCAUGCCAUUAAUUUGGUGCGUUGGGGAAGCAGAGCUAUUACCUUGAAAAAAUUAGAGUGCUUAAAGCAGGCCAGUGCUUGAAUAGAUUAGCAUGGAAUAAUAAAAUAGGACGGCAUGGUUCUAUUUUGUUGGUUUCUAGGAUCACCGUAAUGAUUAAUAGGGAUAGUUGGGGGCAUUAGUAUUCAAUUGUCAGAGGUGAAAUUCUUGGAUUUAUUGAAGACUAACUACUGCGAAAGCAUUUGCCAAGGAUGUUCUCAUUAAUCAAGAACGAAAGUUAGGGGAUCGAAGACGAUCAGAUACCGUCGUAGUCUUAACCACAAGCUAUGCCGACUAGGGAUCGGGCGAAGUUAAUUUUUAAAUGACUCGUUCGGCGCCUUACGGGAAAC